rnacentral:rRNA from 1 species
AAGCUCGUAGUUGAAUUUCGGGGUUAGUAGGUUGGUCAUGCCUCUGGUAUGUACUGGUCUCACUGAUUCCUCCUUCCUUAUGAACCGUAAUGCCAUUAAUUUGGUGUUGCGGGGAAUUUGGACUGUUACUUUGAAAAAAUUGAGUGUUUAAAGCAGGCUAACGCUUGAAUACAUUAGCAUGGAAUAAUGAAAUAGGACGUUCGAUCUUAUUUGUUGGUUUCUAGGAUUGACGUAAUGAUUAAUAGGGAUAGUUGGG